GGGGUGGCUGUUAGCCCUGACCUGGGCGCCUCGAAAAGAAGCGGGGGAGGCAGCUCCAUUUGAAAUUAAUUCCCUAUAAAAAGCAGUUGACGGAGGAGUUUGUAUUUGCGUCUGAACGCUUGCAUGCAUCUUCUAGGCGUACAGAACUGCAAUUCAGUGUUGUAUCACGGGUAGCAACAAGGACAUGGACGCCAGAGAUGACAGUGCAUUGGCUGCUUCAAUUUAAAAGCUUUUUUUCAGCUGUUCUCAUCCUGUUUCUUCAAAUAAAGGUGUAACAAACUUUUACACUGUA